ACGGAGGGUGCAAGCGUUAUCCGGAUUUAUUGGGUUUAAAGGGUCCGUAGGCGGAUCGUUAAGUCAGUGGUGAAAGCCCACAGCUCAACUGUGGAACUGCCAUUGAUACUGGCGAUCUUGAGUGCGUGUGAAGUUAGCGGAAUGUGUGGUGUAGCGGUGAAAUGCUUAGAUAUCACACAGAACACCAAUUGCGAAGGCAGCUGGCUAACACGCAACUGACGCUGAGGGACGAAAGUGUGGGGAUCAAACAGGAUUAGAUACCCUGGUAGUCCACACCGUAAACGAUGAUUACUAGAUUUUGGCAGCAAUGUCAGAGUCCAAGCGAAAGUGUUUAGUAAUCCACCUGGGGAGUACGUCCGCAAGGAUG
rnacentral:rRNA from 1 species